UACGAAGGGGGCUAGCGUUGCUCGGAAUCACUGGGCGUAAAGCGCACGUAGGCGGAUUGCUAAGUCAGGGGUGAAAUCCUGGAGCUCAACUCCAGAACUGCCUUUGAUACUGGCGACCUUGAGUCCGGGAGAGGUGAGUGGAACUGCGAGUGUAGAGGUGAAAUUCGUAGAUAUUCGCAAGAACACCAGUGGCGAAGGCGGCUCACUGGCCCGGUACUGACGCUGAGGCACGAAAGCGUGGGGAGCAAACAGGG
rnacentral:rRNA from 1 species